AAUAGAUACCCCGGUAGUCCACGCCGUAAACGAUGGAUGCUAGCUAUUGGGGGGAAUCGACCCCCUCCGAAGCGAAGCUAACGCGUUAAGCAUCCCGCCUGAGUAGUACGAGCGCAAGCUUAAAACUCAAAGGAAUUGACGGGGACCCGCACAAGCGGUGGAGCGUGUGGUUUAAUUCGAUGGUAAACGAAGAACCUUACCAAGGUUUGACAUCCCGGUAGCCGUUCUCCGAAAGGAGAAUUUCAUUUAGUUGGACCGGUGACAGGUGAUGCAUGGCCGUCGUCAGCUCGUGUCGUGAGAUGUUGGGUUAAGUCCCGCAACGAGCGCAACCCUUAUGAUUUAGUUGGAUUUUUCUAAACAGACUGCCCUGGUAACAGGGAGGAAGGAGGGGAUGAUGUCAGGUCAGUAUUUCCCUUACACCUUGGGCGACACACGCGCUACAAUGGCCGGUACAAUGGGCAGCUAAGCCGCGAGGUGGAGCAAAUCCCAUCAAAGCCGGUCCCAGUUCGGAUUGCAGGCUGAAACCCGCCUGCAUGAAGCCGGAAUCGCUAGUAACC
rnacentral:rRNA from 1 species